rnacentral:rRNA from 1 species
GACAGAGGGUGCAAACGUUGUUCGGAAUUACUGAGCGUAAAGCGCAUGUAGGCGGCCACGCAGGUCGGAUGUGAAAUCCCUCGGCUCAACCAAGGAAGUGCAUUCGAAACCGCAUGGCUGGAGUCCCGGAGAGGAAGGCGGAAUUCUCGGUGUAGAGGUGAAAUUCGUAGAUAUCGAGAGGAACACCGGCGGCGAAAGCGGCCUUCUGGACGAGGACUGACGCUGA